rnacentral:lncRNA from 1 species
UCUUAGUCCUUAAAAAAGAUGGGUUUAUUCAAAUUUGGUUUUUUUUUUUUUUUUUUUAAUAAAAAUUUGUAACAUAAAAACUCGAGCCAGGCAGUGGUAACGCACACCUUUAAUCCCAGCACUUGGGAGGCAGAGGCAGUCGAAUUUCUGAGUUUGAGGCCAGCCUGGUCUACAGAGUGAGUUCCAAGAUAGCCAGGGCUACACAGAGAAACCCUGUCUCGAAAAACUAACCAACCAACCAAACAAACAAAAAACCUCAAGUCAUUUGAAGACAUUGACAUAUUUAAUGAUUUCUUACCAAAUUGAACUUUGUAUUUUGUACUGUGCAUUCCUAAAAAUCACUCUUGAGUUUUGAAAAACUUAAUUGUGAAAAGAUACUGUGCAAUGUUAUGUCUCUAUUAUAUCUGCCGUUGGAGAUGUUGUUCAUAUCUGUUACUGGGGCUGGGGAAAAACUCAGUAGUAGAAUGUUUGUGCAAUGUCUGUGAGACCCUGAUUCACAGACACCACAAAAAUAAACAAGCAUGCACACACUUGCAACUGAGAAACAGUUCAUUUAGCUUCUUCCAAGUAAGUCAGCGUCCGCAGGGUGGCUUAGUGUAUUAGUCAGGGUCCUCUCGAGCAGCGGCUCUCAACCUGUGGGAGCCUUCUCUAUCGUUCUCCUCCUUACUAUCUGAGAGAGGGUCUUUCCUAAACCUAGAGCUUGUAGUCUGAGCUAGGCUGGCUGGGGGGCUGAGGAUGAAGGGAGACAGGAGGAUCCUGGUAUGUGAAAAAUCAUUGCCAUUGUCACUAACAUAGACAAGCUGCUCUGUGUCUGUUUAAAUAUGGCCUUGUUGGAGUAUUGACACUCCCCCCCGACCCCCGCAAGACCAUUGGAAAACACAGGUAUCUAUAUUAUGAUUCAUACUAGUAGCAAAAUUACAGCUAUGAAGUAGCAAUAAAAAUAAUGUUAUGGUUGGGGGUUACUACACCAUGAAGAACUGUAUGAAAGGGGCACAGCUAAGUUUGAUCCGAGUUUGAUUCUUAGAACUCACUUGGUAGAAGGACAGAACUGAUUCCUGGAAGAUAUCCUGUGGCCUCUGGGUUUGCAUGGUGUCAUGUACACACACACACACACACACACACACACCAUAAAAAAUAAACAACAAAAAAGCCAUUCACAUUAAUGAAAUUAAAAGUCCCAACUCAUGUACUCUGACUUCUACGAAUAAAUUAAGUUAAAAUUUAAAAAUUCUCUUUAAAAAAAAAAUCCUACUUCAGCAGCUGGACACAUUCCAGGAUGCCCAUCAUCUCAGUACCAGGAGGCUAAGGAGAAUGGUGCUCAGCCUGAGGCCGGCUGGACUGGGCUGCUCAGCAGGACCCUACUUCAAACCAAGAGUCUUCAUUUCCUCUCUGGCCCCAUUUCUGAUGCUCAUUUCCCCCUUGCCCACCAUUCUUGUUUCUAGCAGUUUUCCAGAGGCCAGAUCUGUGACUCACAGCUAAGAAGGUGAUAUAAUUACAGGAGUGACUUUUCUUUAGACAGGACGGCUUGCCUAUGUAGUGGCUAUGCUGAGCUCCCAAUGGAGCACAGAGACUUUCAGAUACCAGGAUCCUCCUGUCUCCCUCCUCCCCCCUCCUCCCAGCCCCCAGCCAGUCUAGCUCAGACGACAAGCUGUAGGUUUAGGAAAGACCCUCUCUCAGAUGGUAAGGUAGAAACCCGUAGAGAAGGACACCUGAUGCCAACCUCUGGCCUCCACAUGACCUCACGCAAUAAUAACAACUUUGGUCACGAGUCUUAGUUUUGCCUUUUGUUGAAGAGAGAAAUGCAUACCUUUAUCGUUCUCCUGAGUGUAGUCUUUACUGAUCGUGAGUGCGAGUGUGGGAGAUAGCUCAGCAGGUACAAAGCACCUACUGUCAAAGCCUGACAACCCGAGUUUGGUCCCCAGACCCCACUUAAAAGUGGAAAGAAAGAACUGACCAAGUAGUUCUCUGACAUCUACAUGUGAGACAGGGGUAUGUGUGCACCCAAGCAUCACACACCACCACCACCACCACCUCCACCUCCACCAACAGUGUCUUAGUUAAGGUUUCUAUUUCUGUGAAGAUACACCAUGGCCACCACAAUCCCUAGAAAGGAAAGCAUUUAGUUGGAGCUGGCUUGGUUUCAGAGGUUUAAUUCAUUAUUAUCAUGGCAGGAAUCAUGGCCACAUAGUUAGACAUGGUGCUGGAGAAGAAGCUGUGAGUUCUCCAUUUUAAUUCACGUGCAGCAGAAGGAAAUUCCUGGCCACACUGGGCAUGGCUUGAGCCCACCCCCAUGGUGACAUACUUCAUUCAACAAGGUCACACCUACUCCAACCAAGCCACAUCUCCUAAUAGUGCCACUCUUUAUGGGCCAAACAUUCAAACACGUGAAUCUGUGGGGGCCAUUUCUAUUCAAAUCCCUAUGAACAGUAAAUAAAAUUUAAAAGCAGAUAUCCAAGAAUGCUUGCAUUAGCAUUAAGCAGUGGAAACACCUCAGACAUUUACUGAGAGGAGCAAGGGAUGCACGAAUAUGAUGUGUGGUGAAAAAAAAUGAUUUUUCCCCCCUGCCUGUGACAGGGUCCUAUUAUGUUAUACAGGCUAACCUUUGACUCAUAGUCCUCCUGCCUCAGCCUCCCAGGUGCUGGGAUGAAAACGUGGUGUGCUUGACUAUCCCAUCUAGACAACAGUAACUUUUCGGGGUGUGGCAACAAAGUGUAAUCUUCAUACAUGGUGGAUGGGUGAAUCUGGCAAAAGCCAGCCUUGGCUUCACAGCAGAUUUGAGGUUGGCUUGGAUUACAUAACAUAGUAUCUCAAAAUGGAAAUAAGGAAAGAGAAAUGUGUAAAAGAGUCAGAGGAAAUGAGGACUCUUAGUUUGAAAUAGGGUCCUUCUGAGCAGUGCAGGCAGGCCUCCUUAGCCUCCUGGUGCUGGGAUGAUGGGCUUCCUGGACUGUGUCCAGCUGCUGAAGUGGGAAUAGAAAGGCUGAGGGAAAGAGAAGAGAGAGAUUGGAGGUUUCUUUUGAGUUCUUAGGGUUGAACCUUGGCCUCCUGCAUACUAGGCAAGUACUCUACUCCAAGCUAUAUUUGCAGC